rnacentral:rRNA from 1 species
GACAGAGGUGCCGAGCGUUAGGCGGAAUCACUGGGCUUAAAGCGUGUGUAGGCGGGUCGUUAAGUGCCUUGUGAAAUCCCACAGCUCACCUGUGGAACUGCUUGGCAUACUGGCGAUCUUGAGCCACUUAGGGGCUACCGGAACAAAUGGUGGAGCGGUGAAAUGCGUAGAUAUCAUUUGGAACGCCAAUGGUGAAAAACAGGUAGCUGGGAGUGUGCUGACGCUGAGACACGAAAGCCAGGGGAGCGAACGGGG